rnacentral:SRP_RNA from 1 species
GUCCUCUGGGGCUGGCGGUCGCGGAGCAUCCUUCGUAGGAAGGAUGUAACCGCGUUUACCAAGCGAACCUGGCCAGGCCCGGGAGAUGGAGGUGUAAAGGAAAUAGGGAUGGAAAGCGUAACGUUGCUAAAUGAGCUGUCCACCCGAAGGAGCAACCUAAGCUUGGACGUUCAGUGCUCAGAGGGGUGCGGGUGUGAGCGGUGGGUUGGUUUGGGUUUGCGGAUUCUACACGUCGAGCUUUAGUGACCCGCCG